rnacentral:rRNA from 1 species
UACGUAGGGGGCAAGCGUUGUCCGGAAUCAUUGGGCGUAAAGAGCGUGUAGGCGGUCCGGUCAGUCGGUUGUGAAAGUCCAGGGCUCAACCCUGGAAUGCCGGUGGAUACUGUCGGGCUAGAGUCCGGAAGGGGCGAGUGGAAUUCCUGGUGUAGCGGUGAAAUGCGCAGAUAUCAGGAGGAACACCAAUGGCGAAGGCAGCUCGCUGGGACGUGACUGACGCUGAGACGCGAAAGCGUGGGGAGCAAACAGG